UACAGAGGGUGCGAGCGUUAAUCGGAAUUACUGGGCGUAAAGCGCGCGUAGGCGGCUUUGCAAGUCGGGUGUGAAAUCCCCAGGCUUAACCUGGGAACUGCAUUCGAGACUGCAUUGCUAGAGUAUGGGAGAGGGAAGUGGAAUUUCCGGUGUAGCGGUGAAAUGCGUAGAUAUCAGGAGGAACACCGAUUGCGAAGGCAGGUCUCUGGGCCAUAACUGACGCUGAGAAGCGAAAGCAUGGGGAGCGAACAGG
rnacentral:rRNA from 1 species